rnacentral:rRNA from 1 species
GAUGAACGCUGGCGGCGUGCCUAAUACAUGCAAGUAGAACGCACAGUUUAUACCGUAGCUUGCUACACCAUAGACUGUGAGUUGCGAACGGGUGAGUAACGCGUAGGUAACCUGCCUGGUAGCGGGGGAUAACUAUUGGAAACGAUAGCUAAUACCGCAUAAUAUUAAUUAUUGCAUGAUAAUUAAUUGAAAGGUGCAAUUGCACCACUACCAGAUGGACCUGCGUUGUAUUAGCUAGUAGGUGAGGUAACGGCUCACCUAGGCGACGAUACAUAGCCGACCUGAGAGGGUGAUCGGCCACACUGGGACUGAGACACGGCCCAGACUCCUACGGGAGGCAGCAGUAGGGAAUCUUCGGCAAUGGACGAAAGUCUGACCGAGCAACGCCGCGUGAGUGAAGAAGGUUUUCGGAUCGUAAAGCUCUGUUGUAAGAGAAGAACGGGUGUGAGAGUGGAAAGUUCACACUGUGACGGUAUCUUACCAGAAAGGGACGGCUAACUACGUG